rnacentral:misc_RNA from 1 species
GAUGAAGAACGCAGCGAAAUGCGAUAAGUAGUGUGAAUUGCAGAAUUCAGUGAAUCAUCGAAUCUUUGAACGCACAUUGCGCCCCUUGGUAUUCCAUGGGGCAUGCCUGUUCGAGCGUCAUUUGUACCUUUAAGCUUUGCUUGGUGUUGGGUGUUUGUCCUGAGGGACUCGCCUUAAAGUAAUUGGCAGCCAGUGUUUGGUUUUGAAGCGCAGCACAAGUCGCGAUUCAAGGCUAUGCACCAGCUUCCACAAGCCUUUUUCACUUUUGACCUCGGAUCAGGUAGGGAUACCCGCUGAACUUAAGCAUAUCAAUAAGCGGAGGA